rnacentral:rRNA from 1 species
GUUGUCGCAAUAGUAAUCCUGAUCAAUAUGAGAGGAACCACGGGUUCAGACAUUUGGUGUAUGUGCUUGGCUGAGAAGCCAAUGGGUGAAGCUACCAUCUGUGGGAUUAUGACUGAAUACCUUUAAGUCAGAAUCCCCCCUAAAAGUGACGAUAUC